CCGGGCGGUCCUGCCGCGAGCCAGGCCCCUUUCCCCCUCCCCGGCCACCCGCCGGUCGCCUCAUCGGCUCCGCCCUGGCCAGGCCAGGUCCCAGCAGCUGCCAGGCAGGAAGGCAGGGGAGGCUGGGCUGCAGAGCCCUGGCCGGAGCAGGGCUGGCCGCAGCUGUGAAGAUCUUCCGCCAGAUCCCCUUCCCCAGCACGGCUGAGACCAGAGCCGCCUGCAGCCCGUAUGAAAAACCAAAGAUCAACCAGGAGGCCGACCCUGACUCAUCCCAACCGCAGCUCCCCGACACAAGUUGCCAGCGGGUCAGGUAGGCCUUAGGCAUGAUGUUAACGCUCUCAGUGCUUCAAUCCUCCCUCGAGUGAGAGAAAGGAACAAGAUGCAAGCAUGUAAAGGAAAAGCAUGAAGACAUCAAGGUCAGCGAGGAAGGAGUUAACUCCCAGAUGGGAGAGUUCCCUUUUCCCCCACUCUGCAGUGUUGCCAUCAGACAGUCUGGGUUGUCUAGGACAGCUAAAAAGAAGGCUUGAACACGUACCCCUUCCAUGGGGCAGUUGGGAAUGGAAAAGCUUGUUGCUUAGGGGGGGCGGCAUGAGAACACCUGACCUCCAAUCAAGUUACAAGAAAGCAAUUUCCACCAAUAAACAGCAAAGAACUGAGUGACAGUCUUUGGGAGGAGCCCGGGUUGGCUGAUGCAACCCCCAGGGGUAUAAAAGACUGAGCAUCCAUCUUGAAGGUGAACCCGCCACAUGGUACCCACGAGGGCCAUUGCCAGUGCUGUGAAAUUUUCCUGAUGUAGUCCUUUUUUUGUAUUUUUGUUAAGGUUUAAUAGACCUUUUAAAUUUUCAAAAUGAACAGUUGUUUUUCACAGUGAGCCAGUGAGCUGUUGCAGCUUUGUGAGCAAGUGUGAGAGCAGAUGGGACAGAGCAUCGCUAUUGGACAUAAAAUGAGUACACAGAAGCUUGAGACAACACAGCAGAUGAGAGAAAAAAAAAAUACAAGAAAAAAUCUGAGCAGUAAGGAGAGAAAGAGAAGGAUUAAUAAUACUGGUAUUAAUACUUGAGAUACUUUUGUGAAGAAAGUGGGAGAGCCAAGGAAUCUAAAUCCAGUCCAGAGGAACUGCAGUGAAAGUCUUGCAGCAAUUUGCAAUUACUUAGUCUACCAGGAAUGUGACAAAUACAGCUGCUUUUUCCUGAACCUCACAGUCCUUCACUUGCAAUUGCUACAGGAGAGAGUUGAACACUUUACAAAAUUAGUUGGUUAAGAAUUGGAGUGACUGAAGCAGAGUGUUUCUUGGAAAGGAUGUGCACAUGUUCUUAGCAUAAGCAGAGGGGAGCCUGGUAUGAAGAAAACCACCAGAGACCUGGAUAUGAACUGAAUAAAAAAGUUGUGUAAGAAACUGCCUAGAAAGGAGACAAUUUUGAGCUUGCAGUGUUGGUAUGCUCAGGCUGUGGCCACAAAAGGACACUUGGAUGGACUGAAUCUCCUGUGAACAAGAAGUGCACAGCCUUGUGACCAGGGUUGUGCUGAGCAUCACCCAUUACCUUGUCCAAACCUCUCUUCCAAAUUAAAAGGACCUACAAAACCUCAAAUAUUGUCUCUCCCUCAAACUGUAAGAGGUGUAGCAUCCAUCAAUUUGCUAUGAAAGCCCAACAACACAUGGGUGUGAAAUGCAUCCUCUUUGGUAAGGUGGGAGGUGGAGAGACAGCAUUGUGAACUAUUCACUUAUUACCCAGAUGUGUCUGCAGAUAUACAGGUAAAUUUGGAGCUUUGGCACACCGAGGACAGUACCUAAAAUAUCUUUGAUCCAGUAGAACUGUGCUGCUUCCAGGAGGAAAGGCCCUAUGGGAGAUGGUCUGGGAGCUGAUUUCAGAAGGCUCUGCCCUGGAGGGCAGAGGGAAAUCCUCCCUUUUGUGAAAAGAUUUGUGUGCCUGGAGUCUGCUGAGGAAGUAGCAGAGCACAGAUUCAUCCCAAAGGUGGGAACAGAAGAGCUUUGGCCAAUCAGCUCCAGGUACUGUCAGUGGCAAAUCAAGAAAGGGAUUGCAGGUUGCACACUCAAGGAAAGAGGUUGGACAAAUGGGCCCAAGAACACAAGAAGCAGCCAACCUAAGACUAUAAGGUGGAAAAGUGACAUCUUCAGGCAACCAGUGACUGGGCAAAGCAAAAUAGUACCCAAAAUGUGGAUGUUCUCAGCUCAGUCAGAGAGAAAGAGAGGGGUUUUCUAGCCAGGCAAGAGCCUGGGAAGCAGUUGGGAAGGAAUGUAAAUAAUUCUCUAAUCUAUCUUGUUAUUCACAUUGUUUAUAGAUAUGCUCUGCUAUUGUGCGUCAUUCACUGCACACCAAUGGUGUGACAUGUUUUUACUCUAAGACCAAUGAGGUUGGUCUUCUCGAUGUUCUCUAUAUAUAGAGCAGUAUAUUUGAAAUAAAUCAAAGCUCAUUUUCUUUA